GGUGACCUCGGAUCAGGUAGGGAUACCCGCU
rnacentral:rRNA from 1 species